UACGUAGGGUGCGAGCGUUAAUCGGAAUUACUGGGCGUAAAGCGUGCGCAGGCGGUUUGAUAAGUCAGAUGUGAAAUCCCCGGGCUCAACCUGGGAACUGCGUUUGAAACUAUCAAGCUAGAGUAUGGGAGAGGGAGGUAGAAUUCCACGUGUAGCAGUGAAAUGCGUAGAGAUGUGGAGGAAUACCAAUGGCGAAGGCAGCCUCCUGGCCUAAUACUGACGCUCAUGCACGAAAGCGUGGGGAGCAAACAGG
rnacentral:rRNA from 1 species